AUUUAUUCUUACUGUACAGGAAACUAGAACAACUGAGCUAAGAUCAAGUGUAGUAUCUGUUCUUAUCAGUUUAAUAUCUGAUAUGUCCUUUAUUUGAAGACUGUAUAUUAAAUUAAAUUUCUAGUGUUAUCAAGAAUUUAC
rnacentral:snRNA from 1 species